AUGACGCAAAAUAGGGCUAAGUGGACAACAAGGUAUGAGAAAGGUCUCAUGGCGGUACUUACAGAGUACAAUCUAUUUCAUUACCAUGGCCAAAAUGGGUGGACUACCGAAGGUCGGAAUCAAGUUGUCAAGGAAUUGAACAAUUUAUAUCCAGAGGAAGGUUUACAAAGAAUCAGGUCCAAGAUAAGGAACCUUAGUUGA
rnacentral:rRNA from 1 species